GAUGAACGCUGGCGGCGUGCCUAAUACAUGCAAGUCGAGCGAACAGACGAGGAGCUUGCUCCUCUGACGUUAGCGGCGGACGGGUGAGUAACACGUGGAUAACCUACCUAUAAGACUGGGAUAACUUCGGGAAACCGGAGCUAAUACCGGAUAAUAUAUUGAACCGCAUGGUUCAAUAGUGAAAGACGGUUUUGCUGUCACUUAUAGAUGGAUCCGCGCCGCAUUAGCUAGUUGGUAAGGUAACGGCUUACCAAGGCAACGAUGCGUAGCCGACCUGAUAGGGUGGUCGGCCACACGGGAACGUAGACACGCACCAGGCGCCUGCGAGAGGCAGCAGUAGGGAAUCUUCCGCAAUGGGCGAGAGCCUUACGGAGCAACGCCGCGUGAGUGAUGAAGGUCUUCGGAUCGUAAAACUCUGUUAUUAGUGAAGAACAAAUGUGUAAGUAACUAUGCACGUCUUGACGGUACCUAGUCAGAAAGCAACGGCUAACUACGUG
rnacentral:rRNA from 1 species